GGGAUAACUACCGGAAACGGUGGCUAAUACCGGAUAUGAGGUGCCUGGGCAUCUGGGCGCCUGGAAAGUUUUUCGGUCAGGGAUGGGCUCGCGGCCUAUCAGCUUGUUGGUGGGGUGAUGGCCUACCAAGGCGACGACGGGUAGCCGGCCUGAGAGGGCGACCGGCCACACUGGGACUGAGACACGGCCCAGACUCCUACGGGAGGCAGCAGUGGGGAAUAUUGCACAAUGGGCGCAAGCCUGAUGCAGCGACGCCGCGUGCGGGAUGACGGCCUUCGGGUUGUAAACCGCUUUCAGCAGGGAAGAAGCGCAAGUGACGGUACCUGCAGAAGAAGCGCCGGCUAACUACGUGCCAGCAGCCGCGGUAAUACGUAGGGCGCAAGCGUUGUCCGGAAUUAUUGGGCGUAAAGAGCUCGUAGGCGGUUUGUCGCGUCUGCUGUGAAAUCCUCAGGCUCAACCUGGGGCUUGCAGUGGGUACGGGCAGACUAGAGUGCGGUAGGGGUGACUGGAAUUCCUGGUGUAGCGGUGGAAUGCGCAGAUAUCAGGAGGAACACCGAUGGCGAAGGCAGGUCACUGGGCCGCAACUGACGCUGAGGAGCGAAAGCAUGGGGAGCGAACAGGAUUAGAUACCCUGGUAGUCCAUGCCGUAAACGUUGGGCACUAGGUGUGGGGUCCAUUCCACGGAUUCCGUGCCGCAGCAAACGCAUUAAGUGCCCCGCCUGGGGAGUACGGCCGCAAGGCUAAAACUCAAAGAAAUUGACGGGGGCCCGCACAAGCGGCGGAGCAUGCGGAUUAAUUCGAUGCAACGCGAAGAACCUUACCAAGGCUUGACAUACACCGGAAAAGUGCAGAGAUGUGCUCCCCGUAAGGUCGGUGUACAGGUGGUGCAUGGUUGUCGUCAGCUCGUGUCGUGAGAUGUUGGGUUAAGUCCCGCAACGAGCGCAACCCUCGUCCCAUGUUGCCAGCGGGUUAUGCCGGGGACUCAUGGGAGACUGCCGGGGUCAACUCGGAGGAAGGUGGGGAUGACGUCAAAUCAUCAUGCCCCUUAUGUCUUGGGCUUCACGCAUGCUACAAUGGCCGGUACAAAGGGCUGCGAUACCGCGAGGUGGAGCGAAU
rnacentral:rRNA from 1 species